rnacentral:lncRNA from 1 species
GCGAUUUCCUCCAUGCCCAGUUCAUCUGCCAUUUUCUUAAAACAAUCCGAGGCGUCCUGCUCUGAGCCCAAGAUCCUGAUGCUCCUGCUGGCAUCACUGCAGCAAAAGACCUGUAGGAUUUGAAAGGAGAGAAACUGUGUUCAGGUGGCUGCCAUGAAAGGACAUAGAGGGUGUGGCAGGAAGGGAAGUGUGGAAAGGAAGAACAGCUCUCCUAAACGUGGGUGUCCCCUGGCCCUACUUCUCUUUCUCCCUUUCUGUGAUCUCCCUGUAAGAUCUGCAAGAUCUCUUUCAUCCCUUGAGUUAUUUCCUCUGACUUCCAGCCCACUGGACAUUUCCCAGUUAAGAGCCCAUUGUCUUCACAAACGCCAUCUCCAAAAGGAGCUCCUCCCCUGGCCACUCG